rnacentral:lncRNA from 1 species
AAAAAUGGUCUCGGUAUUCUCAUGGGAAAAAGCAAGAGCAUUCUCAAGAGCCUCUGUAGACAGAGAAGGCGAGUUCCUGGCCAAGAAUAAAAAUGGGAAAGUCUGAAAUGUUGAGCGCUUCUGAUUAAACCUUCAGUGGUAUAUUUCUCUUAGACAAAGCAUUUGUCAUAAGUAGCUUGUCUGCCUGAGUAUGAUUUAUGCGGCUGAACUGCAAUUGGCUGAAUAAUUUAUGCUAUUUAUUGUUCCGCAAAGUUUCUUUUCUUAAUAAAUAAAUAAAUAAUGCUGGGCUAAGAGAAAGGGGAAAUAGUGGCAAGUGUCAGCAGUGUGAUGAGAGAAAAAAGUCUUUUUUUCCGUGUUGAAAGCUAAUACAGUGUAUCUAAGAGGAAUGGUCUCCACGCAGAAGGGCAAGACUCUAAUAGGUGAAUAUUGUCAGCGUUUUCAACGAAACCAAUUGGCUAAGAGAAGCUGUCAAAUCGGUGUGAAAUGAGCCGUGUAGACCUGCCCGUGAAAAACUUGCCUGAGGUCACUUGGCCUUCCCAAAGCAGUCAGGGAGAGAGCUGCUGAAUCUGGAAGGGCAGAGCUAACAGAGAACCAAAGGCAAUCAACAAAAGAGAAGUGAACUCGUCACAUCUCUGCUAUUCCCCCAGAAGUGUGUGCAGAAGUGAGAGACUCCCGGCCCAGGAAGAAAGAUCUAAAGCUGUGUCCAUAUCGCUAAACACGGCAUUUGAUUUCUUUCCCCAUCAGGGUCCACCUGAGUGGGAGGAGUUACUCUUUGAAGGCAACAAGCAUGGAGACUGGAAGUUAAUGAUUAGACCCACCUUCUUGCACAGAAGGAAACUAAAUCCGAUCAACCAGAGGAGCCCGAAGAAAAUGAAUAAGUGGCAGAAAACCUUAUAAAAAGAAAACAAAAAGUCUGCUGCAAAACCACAGCCCCUGUGACAAUCAGAGGGGGAAGACACAGGGUAAUCUCCCCCCUUAUUGAAAUAUUCAUUUGUCCUUUCUCUGCUGUUUUGGAAGCAUUGACAGCAGCUUUCACAAGCUUUCAGCUUCAAUUUAGAAAGUAGCUCUUCAAAGAGAAGGAUGAUCUUUAAUUUCUUCUUCACCUUUCUACAGCACUCUGCACACAGCUGGUGUUCAAUAAAUGUUUUGCGCACUCAAAUGUAAGAAGUAUG